ACGUUUGUCUCCAAUCGAGAAGGUCAAUUUUUAUCUCCUCAUGUCGCAUGAUAGUUUUUUAUUUAAUAAAUUUCGCUUUUUAGUUUUUUUUCGUUGAAGUGAAUGAUUUCUAAUUUUCAAUUGAUUAAGAGUUCACCGUGCUUGUAAUGUUCAAUCACAUCCGCAUGUCGCAAGACAGUACGAAUGAUAUGUUAAGUGAGUGAAAGAGACAAAAUAUUACUACAAUUUUUCUCAAGUACAAGCAUCACUUCUGAUUACCACUGACAAUCUACUCUGUGUGUCUGUAUAUCAAUUGAGAGUAGACAGUGAUUUGAGCAAGACUUUAUUGCGUCUGAUUGUAUUACUUAAUCAGAGUGAGCUGAAUUUUCAAUCAGUGUAGAGUAUUUGUUUGAGAAAACGAUGCCCGACAAUCAGACUAAGGCGAUCAUCGGCACCGCUGUAGCCGUGGGAACUGCUGUGGCUGGUUUGGCCUAUUUGUACAAGCGGAAUGCCAAAGAAACGGUUCCAACAAAAUGGAAGCAAGUCGGUGAAAUAAUCGAUUUGAAUUGCUUUCCAAUCAAAUCAUGUGCUCCAGUGAAGCGUGCAUCGUUUGAAUGCAAUCUCCUUGGAUUCGAAUAUGAGAGUAUAUUCGAUCGUUGUUUCAUCAUUGUUCAAGGAGAAAAGCAGCUCACGGCGCGAACUUACCCAAAAAUGGUGCUUAUCCAACCGAAAGUCGUUGGCAAUGUGCUCAUUAUAUCUGCUCCAGAGAGAGCAGAUUUCGUGCUAAACUUGGAUAAGUUAGCGGACUUGACACCAAAUCGUAAUGUUGAGCUAUGGUACUCAAAAGUUGGUGGCGUCGACUGUGGCGAUGAUGUCGCCAAUUGGCUAUCGGAAUGUAUUGUUGGUAAGCCAGGUGUGGUUCGAUUGCUGUACUAUCGACAUCUCUACCCAACAAAAGGACGGAAGAAAGGCGAUCCGAGCAAGUACAAGGCGUACAAGUCUGAAGACGUUGGCAUCUAUCAGGAUGAAUCAAGUUAUAUGCUCAUAAACCAGGCAUCAAUUGAUGAGCUAAAUACCCAUCUCGACCAUGUGGUUAAGCCGUUGCAAUUUCGGCCAACGAUGGUCGUCAAAGGGCCGACUGCUUAUGAAGAGGAUAAUUGGAAAUGGGUUCGCAUUGGAGAUGUAGUUUUCCGUGGGCUGAAACCGUGUCAAAGAUGCGUCUUCACAAAUAUCAAUCCAGACAACGGCGAACGCAAUCCGGCACGUGAGCCACUGGAGACAUUGAAGAAAACCCGCACUCUUAUUCCGAACGAGUCACCGGUCAUGGGUCUUCAUUUGGCUAUUCGCACUCAAGGAGCCAUUACCAUCGGCGAUGCUGUCUACAUCAAUGAUGAAAGCGAAGCUUGAACUUCGUGAAUCGAUCACCAAAUGCAACUGAGAUUUAAAAACACUAUCAAUCAAAAAGAACUAGUAGUAGCUUUUAAGUACAUUCCGUUUUGCGUCAUUUUGUAGGGAAAUGUUAGCAUAAGUAAUGCUGCAUAACAAAUCCAAAUUCCAAAAUUGGCGUAAUGUGCCAUUUUGUACACUUUAUACUACUCAUAGAAAACGCAAGCAAAUUGAUUUGUUCCAAUUGAAAAAUUUGCGAUUAGAAUUGUUUAGUAAAUAGAAACAUUCGUAACGACAGCAUUUCUCAUCGAUAUUUAGCAAAAUGAAUUAGUUCCACAGUAGCAUUGAUAAUUCAAUGGCACCUAAACAAUUAAAUUGUUUACUCUGCUGAAUGAGAAUCUCAGCACGAUUAGGUUUCUUAUUGAGUGAAGAGUUGAAAAAAAUGCCUGGUGAGAGAAGGCAAUUUGAAUUUACAUUGUGAAUAGGCAGAUUGUCCCCAGAAAGACAAAACUAAUCAACGGUUUUUCAAAUCAUUAAAUCAUCAGAAUAAUUAUGGUUUAUUAUUUUCGUAGAUCACAUGCAUGCAAUUUUCGGCUUAGCCGCUGCUGUGAGCACAGCCACCGUUGGUCUAGUCUUGUUGUACAAGCGAAAUUGUGAAGAUCGCAUUCCAACAAAAUGGAAGAAAGUUGGCCAAGUGUGUGAUUUAAAUUGUUUUCCAUUGAAGUCAUGUGGUCCAAUUAGACGGCAAUCGUUCGAUUGUCAUUCUCUUGGAAUUCAAUAUGAAAAUUUAUUUGAUCGUUGUUUUGUCAUCACGCAUCGAAACAAGCAAAUCACGGCUCUGGCUCACCCAAAAUUGGUGCUAAUUCAUCCAAAGGUCGUAAGAAAUGUGCUCAUUUUAUCGGCACCAAACCAAUCGGAUUUCAUUUUGAAUUUGGAUCGUCUAAAAGGUCAACGUCCAACCGAGACAGUCGAUUUCUCGUAUUCGAAAAUCUCUGGCGUCGAUGCCGGCAACGACGUAGCAGAUUGGUUGUCACAAUACAUUUUUGGGAAAUCGGGUAUUGUUCGAUUGAUUUACUAUCCGCACUUGUAUCCGAGCAGAGGAAGAAAGAAAUCUGAUAUAAAAAAGUACGGAGCGUUCAAAUAUGAUGAUGUUGGCAUUUAUCAUGAUGUUUCGAGCUAUGCUCUGAUGAAUAAAGCAUCCAUUGACGACCUAAAUUCCAAAUUGAAAACUCCAACCAAACCACUUCAGUACAGAGCCAAUUUAAUCGUCACUGGGGCCGAAGCGUAUGAAGAAGAUCAUUGGAAGUGGAUUCGUGUUGGCGAUACGGUCGUUUUUCGCGCAUUGAAACCAACCCCAAGGGACCUAAUGGUUAACGUUGAUCCCGAUUCGGGUGAGCAGAAUAAAGAUUACGAGCCAUUGGGAACGUUGAUUAAGAAACGGACUAUUCUUCCUAAUCAGCCGCCAGUCAUUGGUAUUAAUAUGGCAAUUCGUGUUCCAGGAACGAUCUCAACCGGGGAUUCUGUUUAUGUUGACGACAACUAAUUGUCAAAAUUGCCGAAAAAAAGGGAAAAUAAAAUGGAAAUUGCCACAAACCAUUGAAAUAAUCUAAUUUUUUAUUUUAGAUUUUUCCGAUAAAUGUGUUUCUUCUCUUUUGAUUGUUUCAUUGAAAAAGGCUUAUUACCAUCUAAAUACGCGAUUACUAGUGUACCCAAUAGACUGUUUCGUUUCCGACAAAAAUUUAAAUUUCCAUCGGGCAAAUAGCUUAUUCGUUGCAAAAUUGCCCAAAUAACAUAACCCAGGCCGAAGAAUGCAAAAACCUAUGAUUGGGACCUGUCGAAUCGUGUAUAUCGCCCCAAGCAAUCGAUUUCAGUCAUUUUUGAUGAAAUAUACACUUUUUACUCUGUGUUAUAGCAUUUUUUACCAUA